rnacentral:rRNA from 1 species
GAGUUUGAUCCUGGCUCAGAACGAACGCUGGCGGCAGGCCUAACACAUGCAAGUCGAGCGCACCCUUCGGGGCGAGCGGCGGACGGGUUAGUAACGCGUGGGAAUGUACCCAGAUCUACGGAAUAGCCUCGGGAAACUGAGAGUAAUACCGUAUACGCCCUUCGGGGGAAAGAUUUAUCGGAUUCGGAUCAGCCCGCGUUAGAUUAGAUAGUUGGUGGGGUAAUGGCCUACCAAGUCUACGAUCUAUAGCUGGUUAUAGAGGAUGAUCAGCAACACUGGGACUGAGACACGGCCCAGACUCCUACGGGAGGCAGCAGUGGGGAAUCUUAGACAAUGGGCGCAAGCCUGAUCUAGCCAUGCCGCGUGUGUGAUGAAGGCCUUAGGGUCGUAAAGCACUUUCGCCAGAGAUGAUAAUGACAGUAUCUGGUAAAGAAACCCCGGCUAACUCCGUGCCAGCAGCCGCGGUAAUACGGAGGGGGUUAGCGUUGUUCGGAAUUACUGGGCGUAAAGCGUACGUAGGCGGAUCAGAAAGUAGGGGGUGAAAUCCCAGGGCUCAACCCUGGAACUGCCUCCUAAACUCCUGGUCUUGAGUUCGAGAGAGGUGAGUGGAAUUCCAAGUGUAGAGGUGAAAUUCGUAGAUAUUUGGAGGAACACCAGUGGCGAAGGCGGCUCACUGGCUCGAUACUGACGCUGAGGUACGAAAGUGUGGGGAGCAAACAGGAUUAGAUACCCUGGUAGUCCACACCGUAAACGAUGAAUGCCAGUCGUCGGGCAGUAUACUGUUCGGUGACACACCUAACGGAUUAAGCAUUCCGCCUGGGGAGUACGGUCGCAAGAUUAAAACUCAAGGAAUUGACG